AAAAGAGGUAAAACAUAGGAAGUAUAAAUAUUGGAUAGGUAGAAUAAGUAAAGCAGAAUAGGUAGAAUAGGUAGAAUAAGUAAAGCAGAAUAGGUAGAGUAGAAUAUGGAAGAAAGAAGAGGAAGAAAGUAAUGGAAUAAGAAAUAAUAAUAAAAAAUGGGAGAACAAAGAAGUAAGUAAAGUAAGAAAAAAGAAGAUACAAUGAAG